AGACCCAAAAAUAAAUAAAUAAAUAAAAUGAAGGAGAAAAAUCAGUAGGAUUUUCCUCCGCAAUCGAAAAAGCAAAGCUGAGAUAAUAUUGAGAAACAAAAAAUAAGUACUAGUCCUGCUUGGAACUACUGAACGGCAAAAGGCAGUAAAUAUUCUUAGGAAGAAAAGUCGGGGUGACUUCUGAGCAGCCGAAUAACCGUCAGUUGUCUUUGUCCCUGCUCCUUAAUCUUCCUUGGCGAAGGAUAUCUCUCUCAGAUUCAGACGUUAUCUCUUGUUGCUUUCUUGUCGGACUCUGCUUAUUAUUCUGCCUUCAAAUUCUGUCUGAAGAGUGCGGAGUGUUAUUGUUGUUGUUCAUGGGACAACUGUACGAAGCUUCAGCUGAAUCUAUAUGAUGGAGAAACAAAAGGAGACUGUUUGUUCUCCUGAUACAGUUCUUGAGGACUACUUGAGGAAUUUAGAAUCUGAAACAGACUCCUCGAAAGCGAGCACUUCAGACUUAGGAGCUCCAAAAGAUCCAAAGCCGUCUUCUAGAUGGGCCGAAUUUCUGCAAUUAUUCAAAACCAAAUCGAAAAGACACCUGUCCACCUUCCAUCCCCUGAAACUGUCUAAAAGGUUUAGCAGCAGUUUGCGAGAGGAAAUCAUUCUAGUGCCAGAUCCCAUGCUUGAUACUAGUUUGAAUUAUUUCAAGCCUCAGUGGAAGAACUUCGCUCUCUCUGACCUCCAAACCGCAACCAAGAGCUUUUCUCAGGAAUGUCUGGUUGGAAAGGGCGGUUAUGCUGAAGUUUACAAAGGCAGUUUGCGAGAUGGGCAGCUUGUUGCUAUUAAGCGGCUGACACGAGGAUCAAUGGAGGAGAGAACAGGAGAUUUUUUAUCUGAACUUGGAAUUAUGGCCCAUGUCAACCAUCCCAACACUGCUAAAUUGAUUGGUUAUGGGGUUGAAGGUGGAUUCUACCUUGUUCUUGAGCUGUCUCCCCAUGGAAGUCUAGCUUCUUUGCUUCACAGUGCCAAGGAGAAGCUUAAGUGGAAUAUUAGGUAUAAAAUUGCAUUAGGGACUGCUAAAGGCCUGCUGUAUCUUCAUGAGAGCUGUCAACGAAGAAUCAUUCACAGAGAUGUUAAAGCAGCAAAUAUAUUGCUCACACAGGACUUCGACCCUCAGAUCUGUGAUUUUGGGCUUGCAAAAUGGUUACCAAGGCAAUGGACUCACCUCACCGUGUCAAAAUUUGAAGGCACAUUUGGAUAUCUUGCUCCCGAAUUCUUAAUGCACGGCAUAGUGGAUGAAAAGACUGACGUGUUUGCCUUCGGUGUGCUGCUGCUGGAACUCAUCACCGGACGUAGGGCUCUGGAUUACUCGCAACAAAGCCUUGUCUUGUGGGCAAAACCACAGCUGAAGAAGAGCAGAAUCAGAGAGCUGGUUGAUCCUUCACUUGCUGAAUACGAUCCAAUUGAGAUGAACCUGAUGGUCUUGGCUGCUUCUUUGUGCGUGCAAGAGUCUGCAAUCCGACGCCCUAGAAUGAGUCAGGUCUUGCUGCUUCUGAGAGGCAGCUGUGGUAGCUUAGAAUUAGUGAGAAAGGGAAGAAAGCUAUCCCAUUGGAAGAGGUACUAUGAAGAGCUGUUCCAUGCCGAAGACUAGAACUUGACCAGGCUAGCGAGGCUCAAGUGGUAUUUAGUAGGAAGAAAUCUGUCAAUAGUGGCUGGUUAAUGCGCUUACCACUUAUGCUCGGUGGAUGAAUCGGCAUUAAAUUAGUAUUAGGAUUGAAAGGGUCGUCCUCAAGCAUUGUUAACUCUCAGGAGUUUCGAAAAGUGGAGGACUGUAGAGGCUCCAUGCUUGGUGGUAUAUCUGUUGCCAAUCAACCCCUUGAAAUGGCACGCCAUACUUGAGCCCGAGUAGCCGCGCCGGAGGAGGGUAGAGAGUAGAGACUAGAGAGCAUCAAUGAACUUCAUCCGGUGUUAUAUGGAUUGUAUAUUUGGUUUUGGAGCAUCAUAUAUGCUGAAGAAGGUGUUCUUGCAACGGGUAAGAGUUAGCAAUGCCAAUCCAAGAACCUACGGAGCAAUAGUCUUCUUACUGAACGUCAUUAAAUUUGGCUCCUCUUGAAAGAUGUCUAAUGCAAGAAAGCACUUAUUAUUCCCCGUGUUAGACCACCAUUAACCUUUCAGUAAUGGAGUUAGGUCUUGAGCUUAUGGACGUUGAAAGAGGGAAGAGCGAAGGGGUGGUUGACUUUUCCCCAACGGGGAAAAAGAAAAAAAUGGUUGUUGAGUUUCUAUUAUCUACGUGGUCGGCUUUCUAAAUCAGCUGGGCACAUGUGUAAUAUUUAUGUAAGCUGAGUGGUUGGCGCAGUUCAACAGUUAUCGUUCCCCUGA